GGGACCCGCACAAGCGGUGGAUGAUGUGGAUUAAUUCGAUGCAACGCGAAGAACCUUUACCUACCCUUGACAUGUCCGGAACUUGCCAGAGAUGGCUUGGUGCCCGAAAGGGAAUCGGAACACAGGUGCUGCAUGGUUGUCGUCAGCUCGUGUCGUGAGAUGUUGGGUUAAGUCCCGCAACGAGCGCAACCCUUAUCAUUAGUUGCUACGCAAGGGCACUCUAAUGAGACUGCCGGUGACAAACCGGAGGAAGCGGGGAUGACGUCAAGUCCUCAUGGCCCUUAUGUCCAGGGCUACACACGUGCUACAAUGGUCGGUACAAAGGGUUGCGAUACCGCGAGGUGGAGCCAAUCCCAUAAAGCCGAUCUCAGUUCGGAUUGGAGUCUGCAACUCGACUCCAUGAAGUUGGAGUCGCUAGUAAUCGCGGAUCAGCAUGCCGCGGUGAAUACGUUCCCGGGCCUU
rnacentral:rRNA from 1 species